rnacentral:lncRNA from 1 species
CAGCUGCCCGCUUGCCCGUAGCUGACUCAGCUCCCUCAUCUUCAUCUCCAUCCUCUUCCUCACCAUCACCUUCUUCCUCCCCACCUUCUUCCUCUUCUUCAUCUACCUCGUUGUCAGCCUCCGGCUCCCCAUUUUCCUCAUUAGCAUUCCCGUGAGCAGGGGCGUCUCUUCCAUUUUCCGCCUCUUCCACAACUUCCUUCUUCUCCUUUAAGUCCUCGGUGGUGAUUUCGGAGCUGGUGUCUACGGCUGCGUCUGACAUGGUGGGGCACGCCGGUGACGCGAUGCAGGGGAUAAAAAAGAAAGCGACAGUUCAGGGACUCUGGCGAUAAAGCUGCCGGAGUCCGCGGCGGCGGAGGCGGCUGCGGCGAGCAAGGAGGCUGACGACGCACAAUGCAAAGACGGCUUUUCAGAGCAGCCAGUGGGGCAGGACAAUGUUUUUCAUCAAAUGUCCUUAGAUUUGGAGGAGGUUUCUUCUUUUCCAGUUUCCCCAGUGUAUCCAGUGGUUGUCUUCCUCUUGAUUAAUAUUAAAGGAGGAGAAAAAGUGUGUAUUGGGGUCAGUGCAGAAAACAAAUCAUCCAAGCACACGAAGUGGAAUUUGCUAAUAGCAUUACUACUCACCCAGUGACUUCGGAGUCACAACCCAGGACACGGUUUUCCGCCCAUUUCUACAGACACAGUGAGAUUCUUCAUUCUUCUCUGUUGGAACAGCCAGGAAAGCGGAAGAGACCUCCAGCUGCACAACGACCUGUCCCCCACACCCAACCACAAGUUUAUGAAGGGAUGCAGAACAGCAUGAAUACUGCAAAAGAUGCUCUGUGCAUCAGGUAAAUGGACUGAGGGACAAUGUCCAUGAGUCCAGAGGCGCUGAGAAGCUGUGCAAAUAUGGUCAGCUCUAUCAGACACUUUGUAGUUUAGGUGUUUGAAACAAGAAAAUUGAAAAACUGACAGGAAUUAGGAUAAGUGUUUAGGAUUUAGCCUUGUGCCAACAGAAGAAAGAGGUGUUUAGUGAAAAACAUGAAACAAUCAGGUGGACAUAAUGUCUGAAUUUAGGAAUACACAGAUAUAGGAGCCUGAAUGAAUAUAACCUUACCACCUUGGGCCUGUCAGGUACCUUUUCUCUUAGUACCAGGUCUGCUCCAAAAUUAGGAUAUAUCAUAUGCAGUUCUGAUUUCCUGGGUUACCUAGGAGACCUGGUAAUGAAUGGUGACUAUCUUCUAUUCUCAUUCACUUCCAGAGAAGUGUCCUUACCCGAAUGCAGGUGGACAAGCAGUUAAACACAGUGGCUUUGAGUGUGAAGGCUUCUCCUCGCACCACAGAAUAAGGAAGGGUGAGUUCUAGGAAGAAAGGCUGGAAGGCUUGAAGAGACACGAUAGGAGAGAGGCCAAACCCUGUGGUUCCAGACAAGCAGAAUGCGCUGGCCUUCCACUCUGUGAUGGUUUCAGGGACCUGGUCACCAGCUCACUUAUACCUAAUGAGCUAGUGAAGGAGCAGAGAAGAGGAGUAUAAGCAAAUCUUUUUUUUUUUUUUUUAACACAAAGCAUGGCUGAUCCUAGAACAUGAUAACUCAGUAACCUAGUGUGGUAAAUGCUAAACUUGAUCUAAGGGUUGGUGCUCCUGGUGAGGUUUAAAGUUUUUUUUCUCCCUACCUCCCUUACUCCCUCCUUCCCUCCCUCCCUUUAUUUCUUCCUCUUUUCUUUCAUUCUUUCCUUCCUUUUGUUCUUUCUUUCAAUCUCCCUCCCCUCCCCUUCCCUUUCCUUUAUUUAAGAGGGCUGGUAGCAUCCUACUUUCUAUUAUCUUAGUUAUCAAUAGACUAAAUUAGAAAAAAAAUUAGCAUUGUUUAAUUAUGAGAUAAAUGAACUAUAAACCUAAAUAUUUACCAGAAAAGAGCAGAGCAGAACUAAAAGGAUCAGGAAUCCAGGAUAACAUCAGUCAUACAGCAGGAUUCAAACCCUCUCCUAAACUAAAUUCCAGGCAACACACAACUUACUCAACUACCACCAAAUCCCAGAUCCAGGUCUCAGGGAAGUACUUCCGGACUAUCUCUUUCACUUGCAAUAUCUGAGGUUCUUCUUCGAUCAUUGGGUACAUUAUUUCUACGGCUCCUGGGGGUACACCUCGCAGACCUGGUCCUGGAAGACAACACACAGGCCUCAGUGUGAACCUCAUUUUUAUCAUCAAUUUCUUAUUGCUGCCUUAUUUCUCAAAUGGAAUAAGGUCAUACGCUCAGGGAAUGUUUAUUAUUGGAACAAUUUAACCUACCAGCUUGUUAUUUUGUUCACUUUCCUAUAAAAAGGCUAAUCCUAUUUUUUCUUCAAAUAGAAUCUAGAGCUAAAUAUAUUUUUCUUUAUAAAUAAAAACAAAUGACCUGUACAUGUACCUCCUGAAUCUAAAAUAAAAGUUGAUUAAAAAAAAACAAAU